GAAGAGUAAAGAAGGGUUAGCAGAAGAAAUCAAGAAGUAACCCAACUUUAUUAGACUCUUUAUCUUACUAGUGGAGAGAAAUUUAGUUCAUCCCAAUACCAGAGAAAGAAAAAUAAGUUUGUCAUGUUUAUUAGCUGCAUAUUUUAUGGGGUGCCUAGUAUAAAGAAAAUGUUACCAUGCCAAUAAUUUUGGAAAAGUCAUUCAACUUUGAAGGCUUCAGUUUUCCCCUUGUAAAAUAAAAAUUCUCUAUAAAGUGAUCAGUAAGAAUUUUUUUUCUUUUUUUUUUUUUUUUUGAGAUGGAAUCUCAUUCUGUCACCAGGCUGAAGUGCAGUGACGUGAUCUUGGCUCACUGCAACCUCCACCUCCUGGGUUCAAGCGAUUCUCCUGCCUCAGCCUCCUGAGUAGCUGGGAUUACAGGUAUCUUGGCAGUAACCUCCUCCAUAUAUUUCCUUGGCCCUCAGCUUACAUCUAGCAAAAUGACUCUACUGGUUCCAGGCUUCACAUGCAUACAACAUGGUGUUGGAGGAACAGAGAUGUUUUCUCUUCCUGGUGUUUUCCCAGACAUUUCUUAGCUGGCAUUUCAAACAAGGGUCCUGAAAUUCACCCUGGUUGGGUCGUGUUCUCCCCUUCCCAUUCCCCAUCCCCACCCUCAACCGAAAAAUGAUGUAAGCAGGGGAAAUUGAAUGUACCAAUGUUUGUUUUUAAACAAGCCACAGACCCCUCCCCAACUCCCCGACUGAAGCUUGAAGUGGGAUCAGCUUUCCCUAAAGUACUUGAGCUUAUGGUAAAGCAUAUAUGUUAUCCAAGUUAAAGUCUGGACGCUGUUAGUAAUGGGAAGGCAAGUAAUGAAUGUUAGCUAUGGAGCCAACAGACAGUGUCCACUCCAUUGUCUUUAAGGCCCAACUAAAGAUAACCUCUUUACCAAUGUCGGUUUAUUUAUUCAUUUAUUUAUUCAUUGAGAUGGAGUCUCACUCUCUCACCCAAGCUGGAGUGCAGUGGAAUGAUCUCAGCUGACUGCAAUUUCUGCCUCCCAGGUUCAAGCAAUCUCCUGCUUCAGCCUCCCAAGUAGCUGGGAUUACAGGCGCACACCACCAUGCCCGGCUAAUUUUUGUAUUUUUAGUAGAGAUAGGGUUUCACCAUGUUGGCCAAGCUGGUCUCGGACACCUGACCUCAAGUGAUCUGCCUGCCUCGGCCCCCAAAGGUGUGAGCCACUGCACCUGGCUACAAUGUCAGUUUCUAUAAAAACUGCCUUGACUUGUUUUGUUUGCUUGUUUUGUUUGUUUGUGUUUUAAUUUUUAUUAUUUUUUUUUAGAGACAGGGUCUCAAUCUGUUGUCUAGGCUUGAGUGCAGUGGUGCAAUCAUAGCUCACUGAAGUGUUGGACUCCCAGGCUCAAGCAGUCCUCCCACCUCAGCCUCCCAAGUAGCUGAGACUACAGGCAUGCACCACCCUGUCUGGCUAAUUUUUUAUUUUUAGUAGAGAUGAGGUCUCACUAUGUUGCCCAAGGUGGCCUCAAACUCCUGGCCUCAAGUACUCCUGUGGCCUUAGCCUCCCAAAGCUCUGGGAUUGCAGGUAUGAGCCGCCAUGCCUGGCCUACUGUAUAUUUUAUGCAUUUGAUAUAAGUCUUGCCUCCCUAAGUAUAUUACAAGUCCCUUGAAGUUAAAGACAUUAGAUUCCUACUCAGUGCUGAGCUGCAACAGAGAGCACUCAAUGAUGGAUAAAAUAGUUUUAGCAUGCAUUCAGCGAUAUAUAUUUAGAAAGUGGAACUAGGUGGUUGAAAAAAGUGUAUAGAUGGGUGGAAGGGAAUAUUACAGCUCUUAGAAUUGUCCUAAGGUGAGAGUAACAAAUUAAGCAAUGAGUCCCUGGGUUCACUCAAGCAACUUCACUCUCUAAAACAAGAGCCCACAGAAUCCCAUUUCUGCUUUCAGAAUGAGUUUGAGGCCAAUAUUAUUUCCAUUUUUUUUCUUUUUCUUUCUUUCUUUUUUUUUUUUUUUUUUUUGAGACGGAGUUUCACUCUUGUUGCCCAGGCUGUUUUGAUCUCGGCUCACUGCAACCUCUGCCCCUGGGUUCAAGCGAUUCUCCUGUCUCAACCUCCCAAGCUGGGAUUACAAGCAUGCGCUACCACACCUGGCUAAUUUUGUAUUUUUAAUAGAGACGGGGUUUCUCUGUGUUGGUCAGGCUGGUCUCAAACUCCCAACCUCAGGUGAUCUGCCCACCUUGGCCCAGCCUCCAAUAUGAUUUUCUAAUAGCUGUGUUUGAUGAUUAUAUUUAUUCCUCCAUCAGUAGCUUUUUUAGCCUUGAAAAUAUCUAUUUAAGUUUCUUAUUUCCUUUGGAUCUAUCAAAGUGUUUUUCCCCAAGUGGCACCUGGGAAAACAUAUUCUAUUCAUUUAUUUUAUAACUGUUCCCUUGACCUCUUUAUUGCUUCCCUAUUACAACCCAAGAUGCUCUUGUAAACCUGACUUAAUAUUGGCAGUCUUCAUCCCUUGCAAAUGGAAGUGAUGACAGACCCAAUACUUUGUGUAAAAAUAUUUUGCUAUUUCUAUACAAAAUAUUUUAUUAAUGGAAACCACAUGUUAUGUAUUUUACAUAUGUUAUGACUUGAAAUUUAUGUUAUGACUUGAAAUUGGGGAAUCUGAUAUGUCUCUAAUAAUAAAGGCUUCACAGUACAACUGUUGUUUGUAGAUUUACAGAUGGCUGGCAUUUUAAUUUUUUAAUUUAAAUUUUUAAUUCAAAUAUGAUUGACCUGAAAUAUUAACAAAAAUUAUCCUUGAAUUGUUGCACUGCAAAAUAAGAAAGCAAAAUCAGCUAUCUAUGAUGCAACAUUUUAUUUAUAAAUUAAGAUUGUUAGCACUCAUCUAUUGAUUUUUCUCUCUAUUAAACAUACUCCUAAUAAUAAAGGGAAGGAAGGAUCUUUGUAAAGUUAAAUUUACCGUAGCAAAGAAUAGAGGUGAUAAUUAAUAACAUGUUAAAACUCCUU
rnacentral:lncRNA from 10 species